rnacentral:misc_RNA from 1 species
AACGCACGAGACCUGCGGACCUGCGGAAGGAUCAUUACCGAGUUCUCGCCCCUCGCGGGGUAGACCUCCCACCCACUGUGAUCACUACCGUCGUUGCUUUGGCGGGCCGCUGGGCCCAGCCCACCGCCGGCCCCGGCUGGCGCGUGCCCGCCAGAGGCCCUACAAACGCUGGAUAUCAGUGCCGUCUGAGUACACAUGUUAAUCGUUAAAACUUUUAGCAACGGAUCUCUAGAUCGGAAG